rnacentral:misc_RNA from 1 species
AAAAAAAAAAAAAAGAAAAAGAUGAAAUUUUAUAUUUUGAAUAUCAGUAGGCAUGAAGAAGCCACCCUCCAGAUGUAUCAAUUACUUCCUGAAAACAAAAAACCAGAAUUAGUUUACCAAAGACAAAUUCAUUAUCUGCAUAUUCAAGGAUAUGCAUGCCUGUGAAGCAAACGUUUGUGAGAUGCAAGGAUGACAAAAUCUAGUUCUAAAGGAAAUUUUAAGAAAUGCACCCAAAAAAAAAAUCCAUCGCAUUAUCCAUACUUAAUGAAGAUAAAUAAAUCAGCUUAACUUUAUAAACUUAAUUCAGUGGCUAACUGACCAAAAUAUCUAAACCUUUGCCCUUUAGCCAUUCCCUUUAAAUUUAAUUCAAACUUUUUACAUGGAUAUCAGUUUUAGCAAUCCUUCUCAAAUUGGAAAAAAAAUAUAUUUUUAUUACUGAAUCCAAACCUUUACCACAAGCAAUUAGUGUUUCCUUCAAAAUAUUCAGAAAAGAGACAAACUAAUAACACCUGCCAAUUCCCAAAAAUAAAAUUUAUCCAGAAGCGUAGAGCUAUGCUUCAGGCAGAAUAGAUCGAGUCCUCUUUCCUCUUUCCUAUUUUAAGUGAGAUUUUCUGCUAGUCAAUGGAUUUAUGGACUGGUCAAUGGCGAGAAAAUAUUUUUAUACCUAAUAUAUCCUUAUCAUGUCUCCCUUGUUUUGUUCUGCCUAUCUCCCUCCUCUCCCUCCCAAUUGUUCUCUCUCCUCUCUCUCAUGUUUCUCUCCCUCUAUCUCCCUUCUCUCUCUCCCCCUUCCCCAUCUCUUCCUCCCUCUGUUUCUCUCUUUCUAUCCAUUCCUAAACUUCGAAAUCGAAUACAUUUCCCAAAUCAAAAAUACAAAUCACCAUUAAUCACAAGCAAUAAAAACCACUAAAGCAAAAUUUAUCACAAAAUCACAAAUAACAAAAAUUUAUCACAAAUGAAUCAAUCACAAAUAAGAAAACCCAAUUGAAACAGAACUCAAAAUCACAAAUCCAUCAAUGCAAAACAUGAAAGAGAGGAAACAUUGUUGAGAUUGCAAAGAGACUUGGAUUUCAGGUGUUGAGGGAGAAGGAUUUGGCAAAACUGCCGUCGACGCCACGGAACAUGCUCCAAUUGUUUGCUUGCAGCGACCACGUACAUUGUUGAACCGGCUGUCGACAUCCACUUGAAAUUGAGUCAAUUGUAGGCUCAGCACUAUAUCCAAUGCCUUUUUUUUUUGGUGUGUGUGUGCCAAAUUGACGCAUUAGGGGUAAAAGGAUUGGUUGUGCUCCAAUGCCUGACGAGCUCAAAUUCAAUGGAACCUUAUGGCUUUAGUCAGAGAGAGUAUAACCCAGGUGAUGGAUCAACUAAGCUCUACCAAGAGGUCAAAAAUAUCUCCUAAGAUAUAAGUCAUGCUUGGUAGCCAUGUGUCUAUUAAGUAACUGAAGCUUUGCCAUAAUAGUGACCCUAUGGUCGGUAGUAGAACCAGAUUUCCACAGUUUAGAAAGCAAAAAUCCAUUACUCGUUCAUUGUGCUCUGCUAGAUGACAGAAUUUAGGGUGGUCAGUGGCAUUUCUAGCGACUGCAUUUCAAAUGGAUUUUCAGAAAGCAUGGUUUUUGCAUCGUUUCUUUCCUUUGGCUCCUUGGAAAAAUGGGUUAGAACAGACAGGUGUUUUGUGGGAAAGGAUUAGGUAAAGGGUGUAUGGUGGUGAGGGAACUUGGAGAUGAGCUCUGGAUCUUGCAUUUCUGAGAGGAUGAGAGAAGAAAUUGCUGGAGAUGAGGCUAGAGUUAGGUUACGAGCCCACUAUUGUUAGAAUCUUACAAU